rnacentral:lncRNA from 1 species
UCAUUGUCAUUAAUUGCCAUUCCUAACUUAAUUUUUGUUCACUGAUUGUUGAGUCCCCACAGUUGCCAUCUCAUCACUUUUCCUUUUAGCUCCAGCAAACCUUGACCUUCUAGGCACAAACAAGGAUGAAUCACCAACAAUAACAUGCUUACCAGAUGUGUUACUGGUUGUAGUAGUUACAUGAGCAGCAGUUACAGAACCAGCAUGGUUGUUUGUACCAGCAGUAGCAGUUGCAGGUGCAUUUGAGUGUUGUGCAUUUGAAGCUUGUGCAUUUGAAGCCUCAGGGUGUUGAAUAUCAGUAUUAUCCUACAAUAUCACAAAGUGUGUUAUAUAUCAGAUCAUGUGUUAUCUAUCAGAAAGUGUUAUAACAACAGAAACUGUGUUAUUAACUUGUUCCCUCCAGGUUUAAUUGACCUAUCAGUAGCUGUUUUACCCUUACAAGUCCUCAUGUUAUGUCCAAGUUCCUUACAUCUUGUGAACCUCACAGUGUCCUGAUUUCUCUUUCCCUUCUUGCUAGUUGUUGACUUAGGCUCAUCAUUAUCCUUCCUUCUAAGCUUCUUUGGCCUCCCAGGUGCCCUUCUGACUGGAGGUGGCAGUAUUGGUGGAAGGUUCACUUCUGGCCAUAUCUUUCGUCCAUUUGAAGGCAUGAUAAAAUUAUCAUAUGUAUCCAAGAAAGUUUGCUUCCUGUCAUGUGAAACCAACCAAAUUAUACUUAAUUAACCACUUAAAUUAAGAAUACAUAAAGCAUAUAAAAUCACAACUCACCUAUACCAAUGUGCCACAUAUUCAUCUGGGUUUUGGCUAUCGUAGUAGAUUACUGCAACAACAUGUGGGCAAGGAAUACCACUUAAUUCCCACCUUCUACAUGAACAGGUCCUCUCUUUGACAUUAAUCACAUACAUAUCACUUCCAUCAGAAGCACUAAAGUGAGCAUAUUCUCUAUCACCAUGCCAAGUUGGUGACCAAUUAUUUGCAUCCUUCUUAGCCUUGUCAAAUAUCUUUUUGAUCAUUGGACAAAUAUCACCAGAAUACCUCAACAUGUAAUCCCUUAAUCUAACUAUCAUAUUAGUUAUAUAAAACUUUAGUCCCUCAAUAAGUGAAAUAACUGGUUGCUAUCUUAACUCAAUGAUUGAAGAGUUAAAUGCCUCACACAUGUUAUUGACUUGUAAGUCAGAACAUGUGUGAGUCUUGUAUCAUGCCCUACUCCACAUACCUGGUGGAUAUUGUUUCAUCUCAUCCCAAGCUACCUCACUAAAACUUUUCAGUUUGUCCAUAGCCCUGUUAAAAUCAGGCAUAGUAUUUGCCCUAGCUGCAGCCCACAAAGCUUCUUUUAAGCGCUCACCAGGAUGUCUUUUCCUAAAAUUCCCAAACAAAUGUCUCACACACAGUCUGUGCUCAACAUUAUCACCAAUAGAAGCUAUUGUAUUCACCAAACCCUUCAUCAUUACAAACAAUACAAAAUUAAUCUACAUAAUAUUAAGAUAAGAGCAUAAAAAUAAGUAAAUAGUUAGAAAAUUACAUUCUGCUGAUCUGAUAUGAAAGACCAUCUUUUGCAUUGAAUGCCAUUCAAAUCUGAAAGCAGUAGUUCAAUAAACCAGUCCCAACUCUCUUUGGUUUCAGCUUCCACAAUAGCAAAUGCUAUGGGGAUCAUUUGAUUGUUACCAUCUUUCCCAAUUGCUGAUAGUAACUUUCCACCAUACCUCCCUUUCAGAAAACAACCAUCCAACCCUAUCAAAGGUCUGCAUCUUUGGACAAAGGCCCUCUUGCAAGCAGCAAAACAAACAUAUAUUCUCUGAAAUGCAAAACCCCUAGUUGUCUCUUUACAUUUAAUCUUCAUAGAACUCCCAUGAUUACUUCUUAAAAGCUCUUCUGCAUAGUUUCUAAGAUGAGCAUAUUGCUCUUCACUAGCCCCAUGUAUCAUCUCUAAAGCCUUCAAUUUUGCCAUAUACAUCUGAAAUCUAGUAAGAAUCACAUACCAGUUACGCUUACACAAAUCUUGUAGUGCCUUAAUGGUCAUAUCAGGUGUGUGUCUCAAGGUUGGUACCAGCUUCUUAGCCAGCAACUUUGUUCUUAACAGUCUUACUCUACCAGUAUUAGUGCAUGUAUGUGCUGAAUUAUAACUAGACAACACAUAAAAAGUUUGAGGUGGAACCCUACUGAAUCUCAUGUGAUACGGACAUCCAUCACUACACUUCACAAUAAUUAUCAUUUUCUCACUUUUCUUCAAGUGAACAUUCUUCUUGUUCUGUAGAGCAUAUUCUUUCACAACAUUUUUGAUUAACAAAGUAGUUGCAAAAAUCUGUCCCUCUUCAAAUAUCACAGUCUCAUCAUUUCCAAGAAACUUAAACCUAUUGUAUUUCUUCUUUUUCCUUUCAAUACCAUCAUCCUCACUUGAUUCACAACUUUCUAGAAAAUCAGAGUCUCCAUUCUCAUCUUCAAAAUCUAGCUCAGUUGCGGCCUUAGUGUUCCUUGAUGCUUCAACACCAACAAUAGCCUGACAACAGUUGGAUGACUGAGCAACAGGAGUUGGGUUCAAAGCUUGUUUAGGCAGCACAAAAGUCCAGUCCCAUUCUUCAUCAAAAUCACUGUCAUCAAUUGGCACCCCAUCAACACUUCCAAUUUCAGCUUCAGACUCAUGCUCAUCACCCUCAUCAUCCCCAUCACCAACAUACUCAGGAUCAGAUUCUUCUUCCUCUUCAAGUUCAGCUGGUUCUUUCCCUUUAUCUAACACAGCAACUUCUUCCUCAUCACUCACAUACCUACUAUCAAGUCCUUCAAAAUCCUUAUCAGCUUCCACAUAAAAAUCAGCAACUCCAUGAUUUAUAUGAUCAUUUAUGAAUCUAAUGACAUCCCUAUCAGUUUUCAACGGCCUAAGACCAUCACUCAACUCCCAACCUGGACUGACAUAAAACAACUUAUACUCACCUUCCACACCAACCUCUCUCACUAGUUUGUCCAAAUCUUUGAGGUUUGUCUCAUCUAUGUCUAACUCACCACCAAAUUCAUAUACUUCACCCUUCUUGUAAGCUAUAAUAGGGUCAGAAAUGAAAUAACCUUUGUGGUGAAACCUUAUCUUCAAUGAAUGGUCCUCAACAACCUUACAAAGAUUGAUUAAAUAUCAUUUAAUAUUUAAUUCAUAGUGUAUUACAACUGUAUGAAUACUGUAUUUUUAUACCGUAUUUAUUCUGUAUGAAUACUGUAUUUUCAUAUGAUAUUUAUACCCAUACUCCUUUCAUAGCAAUGUAAACCAAAAAAGCAGUAUAAAAUUAUCAUUUUCCAGUUUUCAACUGUGCAUAAUUAAAUACAGUAUUCAAUACUUCCAACAACCCUUUUUUUAUUCAGAAAUAAUGUAACAUGAGCUUUGCUUUAUAGUUAAACAGAUAUAUGAAACAAAAAAAAAUGCUUACUUUGAAGCAUCCAUGUCGGGAAUCUGUCCAGAGAACACGUUUUCUUGAGUUGAUAGAACUUCCAUAUUCGAAUCUUUCGUCUUCUCUGAACCUUUAGUCGCCAUCGCAUCGUUCUUCUU